rnacentral:misc_RNA from 1 species
UUGAAAUAAACCUGAUGGGUUGUUGCUGGCUCUCCAGGGAGCAUGUGCACACCUUGUCAUCUUUAUAUCUCCACCUGUGCACCUUUUGUAGACCUUUUUAGGUCUAUGUUGCUUCAUUUACCCCAAUGUAUGUUAAUAGAAUGUUGUGCCUAUAUAAUAUAUA